GUCCGCACCGGGGCGCCCUGCGCACACCCUUACCGCCCGGCGGCGUCCGCCGACCCCGGAGUCCUGGCCCGGGGCGCGGGAGUCCGGAGGGCAGGACCGGGACGCUCGCGCUGGCCUCCCGUGCGGUGGCGUGCGUGAGCGUCCCUUCCACUUCGGCAGCCCGCACCGCCUCCGUAGCCUCCCAGGUCUGGCCUCCUGCCCCCCUCCGAGCCCCACCGCGCGCCGACCCGGAUCCCGGGCGCCUCACGGCGCGGCUGCCAGCUGGGCCUGGCGCCGAGGCUCGGGCCCCCAAGUUGUGGGAGGACGCCGGGCCUGUUGACACUUCCCUCGGACUCGGGGGAAGACUGUUACCAGAGGAGCCUCCUUCGGCACGAGCCUCGUCGCUGCCGCCUCGGGAAGGGAGGAGAGCGCAGCCGACCGGUGGCCUGACGCGGUCGCAUCACAGGUGUCUCAGUGGCCGCGCGCUUGGAGCAGGUCACAGACGUGCGCGCGGCGGCGAUCCGGGCUUCCCUGCGAGGCCGAGGCCCAGGCCGGCGGCCCGGUGCGUGGCGGGCGGCGAGGGGGCGCUGUGGCCCGCGACUGCGGCCUGCUGGGCUCCGCGCAGGGCAGGGCUCGCGUGGGAGAAGGAAGACACCGCGAGCGCUUCGGACCCGGCCGCUCCCACCGCUUCUGUUACUCUGGCCUUCCUUGGAGUGUGAGUUCGGUGAAAACAGAGCCACCAUCGUGGGCGGGUAGUUUUGCGGGCAGUUCAGGCUAAGUAAGCACAUUUCGCCUCGGCUCCCUUCAGUGAGGGAACGUGUAACCCGCGUGGCACUUCCCUCCGCCGCCGAGCCUCCUUCCCGGACUGCGGGCCCGCGUGGGCGUGGGGGAACGGCAAGAGGAGGGGGCGUGGCUUUGCAGUUUGCUUUUUCUUAAAACUGAAACUCCUCGUUACACAUCGUGCGAAAUCUGUCCGGCUGCAGCGUGUUCGCGACCCCCUCCUUCGAGGGCCAGCGGGCUGCACUUCGGGAUGGGAGCCAGCGGCCCCUGGGGAGGCGCGCCGUAUGGGUGCGUGGCGCCUGGACCCCUCCGCCCGAGGCAGCUCUCUUGGCAGCCCUGCCACGUGCAGCUGACCAUCUUCAGCCGCUGCGAGGGCUGCUCCUUGCGAACCUGCCGCUCCCGGUGUCCUCCUCCGCCUGGCGGACUCGGGCCUGUCCUCCUCCUCCACCUCCCUCAGCCCUGCGCCCCUCGGCGAUGACCUCGGGCGGGCUCUCCCGGCGGGUGCGGGCACCCUGGGCUGCAGAGCCGACCUUGCUUGGACGUGGACGGGCUGGAGUUCCUCUGAAGGAUCUGCAUUCCGGGAGACACUUUUAGGAACAGGAAGCCCGGCCCGGUUCUGGGCAGGCGGUAUCUGAGGACAACACCUUUGCCCUGCAGUGGAGCAGGCCGGGCCCACGCCCCAGAGCUCCCAGGGUGCUCUGGGCGAGUGGAGUCGUCGGGAUUUGUUUUGUUUUGUAAAAAUAUUUCUGCAAGACAGACCCCGGGAGAACGCAGCUCUGCGUGCAGCAGCCCUCGUGCAUUCCUGCUUCCGGACGCCAGAGCGCACCUCAGUGCAGGCCAGUGCAGCGCCCUGCUGCGGCACCGCGGGCCAUCCCCGGAGCAGGAUAUUCGUUACAAGUCAAACCCUCAGCAGGGCAGACCGCAGCUGCGACUGACAGGAGAGUUCUGCAGAGGACGGUUUCAGACCUGCAGUUCCCUGCUUGACCGCCGGACCCUGCUCCUGAAGAGAGGAGUCGCUGGGUGCGGCCUCUCAAUGUCAGGCGUCUUUGCAGAGAGCCGCCCUCCCGGAGAGGUGCUCACGGGGGCCUGGACCUGGCCUGCGUCCUGCCGGUGAGCGGCACUGUGUGCAGGUGGACUGCGCUUCAUCACCCUUUGGCUGCUUUAGACUUGUGAGCUGUUCCCAGUGCUCGGGCUGUUUUGGAAAACAGACGAACACUGCUUUGACUUCUUAGUGCAGCCCUCUAUGACAACUUUUCAUUCAUCCUGGGUGAAACCCUAGGAGUGGAGCAGGUCAUCAGAGUCUGGCCUAUUUUGCCGACCACGACAAUCUUCAGUUCUACCCAUUGCUGGCAGCUGACAUGAUUUCCUGUUCGUUAUGGCUGAGGGCUUCUCGGCUCCAGUCUUACCCACUUUUCUCUGUCAGUUCACCUUUGGACAGACACCUACCUGAUUCCCCAACCUGGGCGUUCGGUUUUGAAAAGCUGCCAGGUUGUUGCCUGAGCCGGGCCGAUGUGGCAGAGCUCCAUCGCUGCUCUCUGGCCUGCACCUGGCGUGGUUGGCUUUUCAGCUGGGGCCGUCCUGGGUCCUGGUGGGCACUUCCUUAGGUCCCGAAUCUCUGGCCUCCCCUCGUCAUGGGGUCAGCCAGACGGACUGUGUGUCUGUUUCCCUGUCCCUGAAUGCUGUGGCAUUUGAAGGCUGACGGCUCAGCUGUCCUUCCAGGGCCAGGACCUGGUGGAGGUGGCAGGCUCAGCUGGCAGCACAACAUUCACGUGCAGUCCAGGCGACACCAGGUGUGUACCCCUGCCUCCCCACAGGCCGACUCCUAAUUCCCCGGCCAGAAUCGGCCCCAGGAAUCAGACAGCUGGAGGCCACUGGCGGGACCCAGAGCCAGCAGCCGGCACUCCGAGGAGCUGGCCAAGCCACCGAGGGCCCUGCCUGCCCGGAGGGGACCCCUGGUUCUGUUCCCUGGUUCUGCCUUGCCAGUGCCGGGUCCCGUGGGCUGCUUGCCUCCUGAUGUCCUCCAGAGAAACCAAGCAGUGCCCCGUCCUCUAAGCACCAGUCUCUCUGUGGUGCUGUCACCGGGCACGCGGCCCCGAGGGCACUCUUGGAGCACAGGGCAUCUCCUGUGGCAGGGCUGAAUUUCCAAGUGACUCACGGCAUCCAUCCACCUUCCCUGCCACCUCUGUCCCCUCUUUUGGCCCUGUAAUCCCCCUCAGAAGGGUUUUCCCGCGCUAUGCUCACCCUCCUUUCUCAGUGCAUGCCUUACAAAGAUUUCCCCCACCUGGGGUUGGUCUUCUCAGUCUUUAACUCUUAUCCACAGAGUUAUUCAGCAGGCAAAGCUUUCAAUUUUGGUAAACUCUGGGUUACAAAAUCUUUCCUUUUGCCGUGUGUGUACAUGUGUAUUCUAUUCAAGAAGUAUUUGCCUAUCCACGGCCUCAGACUUUCUCCAGUAUAACUCACAGGAGUUUUUAGGGUUUAACUCUUCAUUUAGGCCUGUUAUGAUUGUCACUUUGGAAUAUUUUAAGGUGUGUGAUAAGGGUUAGAGUUUAUCCUCUUUGCAUACAAUAUCACUUACUAGUAUUUUAUAAAAUUAGUUUGGAAAUUCCUAGUCCUGUGCAUUACGUGUAAAUUUUGAGUUAGCUUUUCAGCUUCUAUGAAGGGGCUACUCAAGUUGGAUUGGCAUUUAACUGAUGACAUCAUUUUGUGGAGAAUUACUCUCAAAAAUAUUGACUCAUUUAAGCCAUAAAGACUAUAUACAUUUCCUCUUUUUUAAGUCAUUUAAAAUUUUUCUCAGGAAUGCUUUAUGGUUUAGUAUACAGAUUUUGAACAUAGUUAUUAAAGUUAUUCAGUAUUUUAUUCUAUCAUUUAUUUACUUAUGCUUUUAGAAAUGUUUUUUUGCAAUAAUUUUCAAAUUGUUCAUUGUGAAUAUGUAUGGGUAUACACAUGUUUUUUGUAUGUUCACCAUGUGUUCUCCAGUGUGGCUAAUUUCAGUUAUUAGUCAGGUUAUCUUUUCUAUAGGUUUGUACAAAAUUCUACAUCAACGAUUAUGUUGUGUGUGCAUGAAGAAAUUCCCUCUUCCCUUUCUCAUCUGUCCACUGCCCUCACUGGGAUGCCAGCAUCCUGGGGGAAGGUGAGGGUCCCUUGUCCCUGCCCAGCUGGUGCCUGCUCUGGCCCUGAGAGGCAUCCUGAGCAGGUGAGAACAUUCCCUUCACUUGAUCACCAAGUGCUGUUACCAUGAACGGAGCUUCACUUUUCUGGGCAAUUACUUUUCUCCAUCUACUGAGAUAUAUUUUUCUAUGUAAAUCUACUUCCUUAAUGUAUGACAUUAAUUGAUUUUCAAAUGUUAAAUUAACCUUGCAUUCCUGGAAUUAACUCCAGUUGGCUGUGGUUAAAUUGCCAUUUUACAGGCCAGUGUCUCUUACAGACACAGAAAUAAAAAUUCUCCGACAUAGGAGCGAAUUGAGUUCAGUAAUGUAUUAAAGGAUAACAUAUGAUGUGUAAAUGGAUUUAUUGUAGGAAUUUUGAAAAGUCAGUCAAUGUAAUUUUCCUAUUAGCUGAAUAAAGGAGAAAAAUCUAA
ensembl:lncRNA